rnacentral:rRNA from 1 species
UACAGAGGUCCCAAGCGUUGUUCGGAUUCACUGGGCGUAAAGGGUGCGUAGGCGGUCGGUCAAGUCUGAUGUGAAAUCUCACAGCUUAACUGUGAAACUGCAUUGGAUACUAUCCGACUCGAGGAAUGGAGGGGAGACUGGAAUUCUCGGUGUAGCAGUGAAAUGCGUAGAUAUCGAGAGGAACACCAGUGGCGAAGGCGAGUCCCUGGACAGGUCCUGACGCUGAGGAACGAAAGCCAGGGGAGCGAAAGGG